GCGGGGAAGCUUCUGGGCACCACCCGCUGGGAGCUGGGCUGCUCCGAGAGCUCCCUCCAGGGGCACGGAGGUCACACGGUCCCCAAGUUCUGUCUCCUCUUAAAACUCCCGAAUUAGCCCGGCUCUCCCCAAGUGGUGAACCCCGGGUCUCAGAUGUGGGUGUCAUCUCAGCGAGCGUCCUUGGCAGCUUUGCAGGGCAGCUGGCCCCUUCCUGAGCUGGGCUGCUGGGCAGCCACGUUUCACUGCCACAAAAACCAGUGACCCCUCUGCCCUCGCCGGCUUCUGGCAUCUCCACUGGGCACACCUGUCCCACUGGUGCUCCCUCCUGCCAACUCCCCUCCAGGUGGCGAUGAAGCUACCGGCACCGUGCCUCCUCCCCAGGCCACUGCGGGCUUGCUCUGCUGACCGGCCAGGUGUACGCCAGGCACCAACCUCAGCUCUCGCAGCCUCACAAGAUGUCCAGAGGCGCUUCCCUGGGCACGAGCACCCAGGUUUCAGGAGUCAGCUCGGCUGUGGGAAAAUCCAUUCCUCUUACUCAUUUGUAGUCAAGCUGCCCAGUGCAUGGAAAUAACAAUAAAAAUUUAAAAAUGGC